AGCUCCAAUAGCGUAUAUUAAAGUUGUUGCAGUUAAAAAGCUCGUAGUUGGAUUUCUGGCAGGGCGCCGAUGCCCGCUUGUUGCGUGUGCAGAGCGCCCUACCAUCCUUCUGUUAACUUGUCUUGGCAUUCAUUUGUCGGUCAAGGGCUCAGAUAUUUUACCUUGAGAAAAUUAGAGUGUUUCAGGCAGGCUUGCGCCGGAAUACAUUAGCAUGGAAUAAUAGAAUAGGACUUGAAUCUCUUCUGUUGGUCUGAGGGGUUGAAGUAAUGAUUAAUAGGGAUAGUUGGGGGCAUUAGUACUUAACUGUCAGAGGUGAAAUUCUCGGAUUUGUUAAAGACUAACUUAUGCGAAAGCAUUUGCCAAGGAUGUUUUCAUUA
rnacentral:rRNA from 1 species